rnacentral:misc_RNA from 1 species
GAUGAAGAACGUAGCGAAAUGCGAUAAGUAAUGUGAAUUGCAGAAUUCAGUGAAUCAUCGAAUCUUUGAACGCACAUUGCGCCCAUUAGUAUUCUAGUGGGCAUGCCUGUUCGAGCGUCAUUAAGUCCACUUAAGCCCUGCUUAGUGUUGGGAGACUGCUCCAGCGGUGCUACCCUGUAGCUACCCUGCAGCUCCUCAAAGACAGCGGCGGAGUUGUGGUAUCCUCUGAGCUUAGUAACUUGUUCUAGCUUUCGAGUACACCACUUCCCCUGCCGUAAAACCCUUAAUUUUUAAUGGUUGACCUCGGAUCAGGUAGGAAUACCGGCUGAACUUAAGCAUAUCAAUAAGCGGAGGA